CCGUUUCCGGCUCCUCUGGCGCCUGCCGCGCAUUAUGGCCGCGCGGCCGCCUUUGCGGGUCCUGUGCUUGGCGGGCUUCCGGCAGAGCGAGCGGGGCUUCCGCGAGAAGACCGGAGCGUUGCGGAAGGCGCUGCGGGGCCGCGCCGAGCUCGUGUGCCUCAGCGGCCCGCACCCGGUCGUGGACACAGCGGGCUCCGAGGGCGCCGGGCUAGACGCCGAGCCCUGCCCUGCGGAGGAGCAGCCUCGAGGCUGGUGGUUUUCAGAACAGGAGGCUGAUGUUUUCUCAGCUCUGGAAGAGCCCACCGUGUGCCGAGGUCUGGAGGAAGCCCUGGGAACGGUGGCACAGGCACUGAAGAAACUGGGGCCUUUUGAUGGGAUCCUUGGUUUCAGCCAGGGGGCCGCGCUAGCAGCCCUUGUGUGUGCUCUUGGACAAGCUGGAGAUCCCCGCUUCCCUUUGCCCCGGUUUAUCAUCCUGGUGUCUGGCUUCUGUCCCCGGGGUCUUGGCCUCAAGGAACCCAUCCUGCAGGGCCCCUUGUCAUUGCCUUCGCUCCAUGUUUUUGGGGACACCGACCGCGUCAUCCCCUCUCAGGAGAGCAUGCAGCUGUGUAGCCGGUUCGCUGGAGCUAUCACCCUCACCCACUCGGGGGGCCACUUCAUUCCAGCCGCAGCACCUCAGCGCCAGGCCUACCUCAAGUUCUUGGACCAGUUCUCAGAGUAAAGAUCAACAAAACCUUUGGCUCUGCAUCCCCUCUCCACCCCCACCCCCAGUGAGGACACAUGACCUUGGUGCAGCCUUUAUCAUCUCUGCCCUCCCCCACUGUCCCCUGCCUGGGGCCUCCACUGCUGUUAGUGCUCCUCACCAUCACUAAUCAAGAGACAAGUAUCAAAUUAUACAAGUCCAGCUCUGCACUCGAGAAGGGGCUUAGGAGACCCUAAUGGACUUUGACCUCAGCAUCUGAUAUUCAAACAUGAAAAAGGCCUGCUGAAAAGGAGGGAUUCUCGUCUCAUUUUACAGAAGGCUCAGAGACAACAUGGCCUCCUAAUAACCAGCUGAUGAUGAAGCCAGGCUGGACCUCUGCUUCGCAGGGCAGUACUCCCACCUUCACAGACUACAGUCCGCCCACAGAUGUCCACUGGAUUCCAGAAUCAAGUGCAUUUUAAUCUAAGACCUCGGUGUCCUUGGGUAGGAGAAAGACAUUGUGGGCGUUGAUCAGCUGGGAAACCAGCAACAACUGCUUUAGAAGUAGUUUUGAGAAGGAGGGCGUAUGGGAAGUAAAGAAAAAUUGGAUUAAAUGGGUGGCAGGGCUGGGUGGUAUUAACAAUUUCCAACACUGUCCAGGGACCUAAUAUCCAGUAGUCAGCCCCUGCAGUGGGUAAUGAUGGUGACAGGUGACAGAGAGCGUUUUUGAAGAAGUCAUUGCUUAUUCUUCACAGGAACAA